rnacentral:snRNA from 1 species
GUACUCGCUUCGGCGGUACAUAUACUAAAUUGGAACGAUACAGAGAAGAUUAGCAUGGCCCCUGCGCAAGGAUGACACGCAAAAUCGUGAAGCGUUCCACAUUUUU